GCCAUGUGUUUGCACCUCUUAUAUCAUUUCCAUUUUGACAAAAUACUAAAAUGCAUCAAACUAAUAAUUGGACUCAACAAAAAAUGUAAAUUCCAUUGACUAUUUGAAUGCAACUAAGCUAAUUCCUUAAAUUUUCUAUAUUGAUAUCAACAUCAGUGGAGGGGAUGCAGCCAUGUAGUUUGUGUACUACUACGCUUUAACGUUCACGGUAAGGUGUGUCUAAAAAACUAAUCAACAACAAAAUAAAGGUCAAAACUGACGGUGUCACGGUCACAUCAAAGUAACACGUACAACUAUAAAUUGACUAGAAACCAAGUUAAGAACAGCCACUACAAUAUAUAUUAUUUUAUGAACAUAGAUUUAGAGAGUGUUUGUUUGGAUUAUAAUCCACCCAGAUUAUAUAAUCUAACUUAUUUGAACUAACACUUAGUUCAGAGUUUAGG
rnacentral:lncRNA from 7 species